UCGGGAAUUUUGGGCAAUGGGCGAAAGCCUGACCCAGCAACGCCGCGUGAAGGAUGAAGGCCUUCGGGUUGUAAAGCUCUUUUACCAGGGACGAUAAUGACGGUACCUGGAGAAUAAGCCCCGGCUAACUUCGUGCCAGCAGCCGCGGUAAUACGAAGGGGGCUAGCGUUGUUCGGAAUCACUGGGCGUAAAGCGCACGUAGGCGGAUUUGUUAGUCAGGGGUGAAAUCCCGGGGCUCAACCUCGGAACUGCCUCUGAUACUGCAAAUCUCGAGUCCGAUAGAGGUGAGUGGAAUUCCUAGUGUAGAGGUGAAAUUCGUAGAUAUUAGGAAGAACACCAGUGGCGAAGGCGGCUCACUGGAUCGGUACUGACGCUGAGGUGCGAAAGCGUGGGGAGCAAACAGGAUUAGAUACCCGCGUAGUCCCUGAGCGGGCUGGCAAGGCGCAU
rnacentral:rRNA from 1 species